GGAAAAUGCGUCCGUCAGCCGAUGUUUUCAACUAGACGAGUAUGAAAGGGAAUACAGUGUUAGAUAUCAUCGAGGAUAUGUGACCAAAGGGUUUCAGAAGUCUUGAGAGAUGUAUGCAGAUCAAACCCAUCAAGUAAGCCAACACCAUGUCUACAAGGUCAUACCUCUAGAACCUCUCACACCUCUACAGCUGAGGACAAAUCUAAAAGUGGACAGAGGAAUAGUAUGAAUGCUUCAGUGAAAUUAAGGAGCUCAGGUUCUAACAAGCGUAGUAGAGCAGUGCAACACAGAGGUACUCCAAUGUGCAAUUUUACAAGUUUUUCCAGACAGUGAUUACAGCGAGGCUUGCAAUUGAAGACUUCUGUACACAAUUUCUUAACAAAUCCAAAAACAAAGCCGUGUAACAUACAACUAAGUGAUUCAAAGAAAACCAAUCUACAAACAAGAAAGGGUCGAUUGAAUGGAGUGACAUUUUUACCCUGAAGCGUCCUAUUAAGAUAAAGAGAAUCUAGUCGUUUGUGCCACAGCACAAAAUUAUCAGACACAUAAGUAACAUUCAAGUAGUUAUGCAUUUACAUGGAGGAUAUGACAUAAUUGUAUUUUCAUAUUGAAUUUAUCAUAUAAGUUGCGAGUUGAUCGAACCACACACUUAAUUGCCAACAUGGUUGGAAGGGUCUUAUUGUCCAAGCUGCAAAGAGUGUAUGCCCUUAUAAACUAGCUGGCACAGUUGUGUAUCAGUUGAUAUCAGUCUAUGUUGGUUGCAAUUAAAUCCAAUACUUUCAUAGAAUUAUAUGUUUUUAUUUAAUGUUUAUAGCAUCAAUAAAUUGAUAAUCUGAAAACAUAGUGCAAGUCAGGUUUUCAAGUAAAAUCCUAAUUAACUUUUAGAACAUUUUGCAUAAAGUAAGGUGAUAUCUCUAAGUUGUCAAAGAAAAGCUUUUGCAGCUCUUUAUAAUUAAACAUGGCAUGGCACUUGUAUCUAUGGCUUUGUUCACCAUCCAAGUUAUACAUGUACUCAAAUUUUGUGACGUUUUUUAAUAUAUUUUCCCCCAUAUUCCUAGUACAGUAAUUUGUUACAUUUCUCUUUCCUCUAUCAUUCUUAGUUUUUGUAUUUAAUAUUUUCCAAGUGGUAAAUAAAAACAAUAAAAUUUCACAAUUAUUUAUGAUAUUUUAUUUACUUGUGUAUUUCAUGCAAUGAGGCUAAAAAUGUAAAAAAAGUAAUUUUUGAAGAAAUUUUUUUUUAAAGUUAGACCAGUGUUGCUUCAGCGAUCAAUAUGUUAACUUGUCAUGUAGCAUGUACACAAACAUACUGGGAGAAGAAACAGAUGU